GUGAGGUAGCUCAUCCCCGGUGAUGGUUGUCCGGGGCUAAGUGUGUGGACUGUCUGGUAGGUAAAUCCGCUGGGCGUGAAGGUUGAGGCAUGAUGGGGAGCCCAUGGUUGUGGGUGAGUGAGUGAUCCUGUACUGUCGAGAAAAGCUUCGUGAGCGAGGUGGCGGGUCCGCCCGUACCCUAAACCGACACUGGUGGAUAGGUAGAGUAUACCGAGGCGAUCGAGUGAAUCGUGGUGAAGGAACUCGGCAAAAUGCCCCCGUAACUUUGGGAUAAGGGGGACCUGAGCUGUCGUGCACCCGUGCGGUGUGGUGGCGGUGAGGGGCGCAGAGUCCAGGGGGAAACGACUGUUUACCAAAAACACAGGUCCGUGCGAAGUCGUAAGACGAUGUAUACGGACUGACUCCUGCCCGGUGCUGGAAGGUUAAGGGGAACUGUGAGUGUAUGCGUAGCGGUGAACUUAAGCCCCAGUAAACGGCGGUGGUAACUAUAACCAUCCUAAGGUAGCGAAAUUCCUUGUCGGGUAAGUUCCGACCUGCACGAAUGGAGUAACGAUUUCCCUACUGUCUCCACCAUGAACUCGGUGAAAUUGCAUUACGAGUAAAGAUGCUCGUUACGCGCAGCAGGACGGAAAGACCCCGGGACCUUUACUAUAGUUUGGUAUUGGUGAUUGGGACGGUUUGUGUAGGAUAGGUGGGAGACGUUGAUGCGGCCACGCUAGUGGUGGUGGAGUCGUUGGUGAAAUACCACUCUGAUUGUUCUGGUUAUCUCACUGUGGACCGUGAUCCGGUUCAAGGACAGUGCCUGAUGGGUAGUUUGACUGGGGCGGUCGCCUCCUAAAGGGUAACGGAGGCGCCCAAAGGUUCCCUCAGCCUGGUUGGUAAUCAGGUGGUGAGUGUAAGUGCACAAGGGGGCUUGACUGUGAGACUGACAGGUCGAGCAGGGACGAAAGUCGGGACUAGUGAUCUGACGGUGGCUUGUGGAUGCGCCGUCACUCAACGGAUAAAAGGUACCCCGGGGAUAACAGGCUGAUCUUGCCCGAGCGCUCAUAGCGACGGCAUGGUUUGGCACCUCGAUGUCGGCUCGUCGCAUCCUGGGGCUGGAGUCGGUCCCAAGGGUUGGGCUGUUCGCCCAUUAAAGCGGCACGCGAGCUGGGUUCAGAACGUCGUGAGACAGUUCGGUCCCUAUCCGCUGCGCGCGGAGGAAUCUUGAGAAGGGCUGUCUUUAGUACGAGAGGACCGAGACGGACUGACCUCUGGUGUGCCAGUUGUUCUGCCAAGAGCAUGGCUGGUUGGCUACGUCGGGUUGUGAUAACCGCUGAAAGCAUCUAAGCGGGAAGCACGCUUCAAGAUAAGGGUUCCCACAGGAGUGUUCCUGGUAAGGUCCCCGAGAGAUGAUCGGGUUGAUAGGCCAGACGUGGACGCAUCGUAAGGUGUGGAGCUGACUGGUACUAAUAGACCGAGGACUUUCAUUA
rnacentral:rRNA from 1 species